rnacentral:rRNA from 1 species
UACAGAGGUGGCAAGCGUUGUUCGGAAUUACUGGGCGUAAAGGGCGCGUAGGCGGCUUGGUCAGUCCCGUGUGAAAUCCCUCGGCUCAACUGAGGAACUGCACGGGAAACUGCCUGGCUUGAGUUCGGGAGAGGGAAGCGGAAUUCCGGGUGUAGCGGUGAAAUGCGUAGAUAUCCGGAGGAACACCGGUGGCGAAGGCGGCUCCUGGACCGACACUGACGCUGAGGCGCGAAAGCUAGGGGAGCAAACGGG